GUGAAAUCAUUUCAUCAUACACAUUAUUUAAAACAUGAGCUUUAAACUCCCCAAAUGCCAGUCUGUUUAUUUAGCUGGUUAAUACAUUUGCACAAAAAGCACUUUUAACUACAGCAGAUCCCUACCAAACACAUCUCAAAACUAAUCAGCACUCUCAAGAAUGCUUGGAUUCCAUAUAAAAGGUAUAAAGUAAUCAAAAACUUUCAUAAUCCGCAGUGCACAAUUAACUACGCUUAGAAACUGCGUUCAAAACAGCCAGCUUCCGUUAGUAGCAUGGGCUGCUUUUCAAACAGCCAUUUUACCCUUAAAGUGAAUCCUCUCUUUCAGCCCAGCCUUCAUUUUGUGUAAUUGCUUAGUUGAGGGGGUUCCGGGGUGACAGCUAACGUUCAGGAGGCGGAGGAAAGGGGGGGCUGUUCUCGUUUCAGGGUCGAAAACACAGAUACCUCCCUGUUGGAGUGGGGGGAGCACUGAGCAGGAGAGUGAAGGCUUCCCGCCUCCACCCCCCCCCCCAUUUGAAAGCAAGGAAAGGCGCCGCGAUGGGAGGCGAGGGGGAAGUCCCAAUGCCUCCUCCCCCAGGGAGCCCGGCUCCUCCUGGAGAGGCAGGGGAGCCUGGGGACCCCGCUUUGGCAGGUCGGCCUUGCGAUCGUCCCUCCCCCGGGCGGGCGGGCAGUGCUAUGCGGUGUCUCCCGUCCCUCCCCCCGGGCGGGCGGGCGAUCUGCGCUGUCUCUCCCCCCGGCAGGCCGUGCGAGCGCGGCGGGGCGGGCUCACUUACCGCUCCGGCAGAUUGAGAAGCUUCGUCGUCCUCCUCCGGUGACGGCGGCCCGAUCUUGCUGCAGUUGUCUCUACUGUUAUUUCAUUGUCUGUACCAUUCACCAUCCUGGGAAACAGACUUUCAAAUACAUCAUUCUGAACAUCGGUAAACUGAGAAAUGAUGAGUGAUCACGUAAAGUACAUUUUUGCAUUUCUGACCAAUUGCUAGGUAAGAGACCACAUCUGAAUUAGUAUUGAAAUAUGGGGUGUGUAUCAUGCUAAAUUCUCUUGGAAGAUUCUGGUCAGAUCACUCCUUGACCAAUUUAAUACAGCACUGUUGGUGCUAACAUCACCUGAUGGUUACUGUUAUUCGAGAAACAUGAACUCUAAAUAUUGUUGAGGUGAAGAUGACACAACCCCCACAAAUAAAAUAUGUAUAAGAAAGCAAGUUAUGACAAUGUAAGACUUACAUAUGAACAGUCCUGCUGGAUCAGGCCCAAGGCCUAUCUAGUCCAGCAUCCUGUUUCACAUAGUGUCCAAUGAGAUGUCUCUUGGGAACCCAUAGGCAAGAGGUGAGGACAUGCCCUCUCUCCUGCUGUUGCUCCCCCACGAAUAGUAUUUAGAGGCACCUUGCCUCUGAGGCUGGAGGUGGCCCACAGCCACCAUACUAGUAGCGACUGAUAGCUGUUCUCCCAUGAAUUUGUCCUUUUUAAAGCUAUCCAAGCUGGUGGCUAUCACCACAUCCCAUGACAAAGAAUCCCAUAUAUUAAUUGUGCACUUUGUGAAAAAGUACUUCCUCUUGUCAGUCCUAAAUUUCCUGACCUUCAGUUUCAUGGGAUGACCCCUGGUUCUAGUGUUGGGAGAGAGGGAGAAAAAUUUCUCUGUCCACUCUCUCCACUCCAUGCAUAAUUUUAUACACCUCUAUCAUCUCUCCCUUUAGUCACCUUUUUUCCAAAGUAAAGAGCCUCGGAUGAUGUAGCCUUGCCUCAUAAGGUAGGUGUUCCAUGCCCCUGAUCAUCUUGGUUGCCCUCUUUACCUUUUCCAGUUCUACAAUACCCUUAAGAUACAGUGACCAAAACUGUACGCAGUACUCCAGAUGUGGCUGCACUGUAGAUUUUAAUAAGGGCAUUAUAAUAUGAGCAUUCUUAUUUUCAAUCCCCUUCCUAAUGAUCCCUAGAAUGGAAUUCGCCUUUUUCACAGCUGCUGCUCACCAAGUCGACACUUUGAAUGAGCUGUCCAGUGUUUACCACAACCCCAAGAUCUCUUUCCUGGUCAGUCACUGACAGCUCAAAUUCCAUCAGCGUAUAUGGGAAAUUUGGGUUUAUUGCCCCCAGAUGCAUCACUUUACACUUGCUUACAUUGAACUGCAUUUGCCAUUUUGUCGCCACUCCCCCAGUUUGGAGAGAUCUUUUUGGAGCUCCAUACAAUCUAUUGUGGAUUUCACUACCCUGAGUAGUUUAGUGUCAUCUGCAAAUUUGGCCGCUUGGCUGCUUACCCCACUUCUAGAUCAUUUAUGAACAAGUUAAAGACCACGGGUCCCAGUACAGAUCCCUGAGGAACCUCACUUCCUACUUCCUUCCAUUGUGAAAACUGUCCAUUUAUUCCUACCCUCUGAUCCACAGAUGAACCUGCCUUCUUGUCUCAUGACUACUGAGUUUAUUCAAGAGCCUUUGGUGAAGAACUUGGUAAAAAGAUUUUUAAAAAUCCAAAUAUACUAUGUCAGCUAGAUCACCUUUAUCCACAUGCCUGUUGACACUCUCAAAGAACUCUAAAAGGUUAGUGAAGCAAGACUUGCCCUUGCAGAAACCAUGCUGGUUCUCUUUCAGCAAUGCUUUCCAUCAAUUUACCCAGCACCAAAGUUAAGCUAACUAGCCUGUAAUUUCCCAGAUCUCCCCUGGAUCCCUUUUUGAAAAUAGGAGUUAUUUUUACUGGCUACUUUCCAGUCUUCUGGUACAGAGCCUGAUUGCAGAGACAAGUUACAUAUUUUUGCUAGGAGAUCAGCAAUAUCACAUUUGAGUUCCUUCACAACCUUUGAGUGGAUACCAUCUGGCACUGGCAAUUUGUUUGUUUUUAGUUUUAAAGACAGUUUAGAACAUCUUCCCUUGACACCCCAAAUUGGCCCUGUUCUUCAGCCUCUAAACCUGAUAAGCUCAAUUCUUGAAAGGGUAUAUGGUCAGUAUCCUCUGCCGUGAAGACAGAUGCCAAGAACUCAUUCAGCUUCUCUGCAAUCUCCUUAUCCUCCUUAAUAAUCCCUUUCAUGGCCUCAUCAUCUAAGGGGCCAACUGCCUCCCUGGCAAUUUUUCUACUUCUAAUACAUUUAAGGAAGCCUUUGUUACUUCUAGCUAUAUGCUCCUCAAACCUUUUUUAAUCCAUUAGUGUUUCCUUGUAUUUCUUUUGCCAGAGUUUAUGUUCCUACUGUUCUCUUCAUUUGCGCAGGACUUCAAUUUUCUGAAAUAAGUCUUCUUCCUUUUUAUAGCUUUCCUGACUCUAACCGGCCUGGUGUCCUCCUGAACUUCGUGGUAGCUUUCUUCCUUCUUGGUAUACAUUCCAACUGAGUUUCUAGUAUUGUGGUUUUAAAUAAAUCCCAUGCUUUCUGGAGUGAUUUGACACUCCUGACAUUCCCUUUCAGCUUCCUUUUUACCAGUCCCCUCAUUUUUGAGAAGUUUCCGCUUCUGAAGUCCUAUGCAUCUGUGUUGGACUUCCUUGACAAUUCUCCACUCGCAUAUAUGCUGAAGUGGAUCACAUUAUGGUCAGUGUUCCCCAUUGGGGAACACUGUCCUUGCCAAUGUCUGUGUUCCCACUGGGGAACACUGUCCUUUCCAAUGUCUGGUCCAGACCAAAACAUUGGUCCCCUUUGCCAAAGACUGGUCAACAUGAUGGAUAGCCUUCUAUUGAUAUUAGGGAGCCAGCAGGACUGCUGCACAACUUGAAAGGUAGCCCUGAUUAUGUAGUAUGGUGAGGCUCCUGUGGAAUGACUACUUAAAAUCGGUUCUGGGCAGCACUCCUUCCAUUGUUGUCUAUGGAAGGAGGGCUACAUGAAAGUGAUUUUAAAUCAUUUUGCAACAGUGCAUUGUUCUACACCAUUAGGGCUAUCUUUUAAAUUGAGACCCAGUGGGUCUCUUAACAUUUGUGGAGAGUUACCCUUCACAUUGGCCAAUAUUGGUUCAUUAGUUAAUUUAAUUUAACACGUUUUUAUACCACCCCAUACGCAAGUCCCUGAGUGGUUCACAAUCUAAAAACACAACAAUUAAACAUUAACAUAAUUAAAACAGUUUAACAGACAGCUAAAAACUCUUAAAACUUUAAACUUUAAAACUAUAAACUAAAAGUGACUAGACAGGUAUGUCUCUUCUGAUGGCCUCAAACAAAUCCAUUCUAUGGCUCUAAUCAUGACUCAAGAACAUGCAAACACUCAACUCUGUAAUAAAAAAGAAAGUGAUUUAAUUCCUAGACACUGAGGUUGCUGGGAGUUCCAUCCGCACUCCAGCAUGAUCCAUUCUCAGAGAGCCAGGACGACAUGUCCUGGCCUCCAGGUAUCCCACAAUGUGCUGAGCGCUGUACAUUGGGGAAUUCCCCCAGGGGAUAGGCACUCUAGGAGCCCAUCUCUGUGCCUUCUCGAGCCGAACAUGGCUCAAGGAGACACAUGAGCAGGAAGCCUGGUUUAAGGGAGCACUCGCUGCCAUAACCCUGACUAAGAGUCGGGCUAAAAAGCUGGGCUAGGCGGCACUGCCCCUCCAGGAUCAGGCCCAAUCUUGGCAGUUCUCACAUGCAGCCUAACACAGGCUGAGCUUCCAUAGCCUGAGUUAGGCUGCGUGUGAGAACAGCCUCUGUGCCUGUUCUGCAGCUAAACUAACAUGUAUCUUCUAUCUAUCUAUAUAAUUCUCCUGGGUGUGCCAGGGAAAAAUGCGUCCUGGCAGCCCAGCUGAUUGGCUGGGCUGCGGGGGCGCCUGAUUGGCUGGCGCACCCAGGAGAAUUAACGCCUGGCCCAGCCGCGGAUGUUAAGGCGGCACUCGGCCCGCUGGCGGCGGCGGGGGGACUCGGCCCGCUUGCGGCGGCGGCUGUGGCGGGGGGACUCGGCCCGCUGGCGGCCGCGGCUGGGGGACUCGGCCCGCUGGCGGCGGCCGCCGCACUCGGCCCCGCCAGAGAUGGGGGGGGUGGAGAGAGAGAGGUAGCUGGCCCCAAAGAGCGCACAGAUGCUCUGUGCAGGGUCGGCUUGUAUAUAUAUAAUUCUCUAAGGCGUACCCAUGGCUAUUCCUGUAUGUGGUAGCUCUCACAAGAGUUUGUGAGCAGAAGCACCAUGGUGAUUGGGCAGUGAAAAUUCCAUACGCAGAUAGGGAGGAGGAGCCUGUGGCACCGUGGUGAUUGGGCAGUGGGGAUUCCAUAUGCAAAUAGGGAGGAGCAGGGUGGAUUUGAUUUAAAUCAAAUUGAUUUAAAUCACUAAGUAAGACUAGAUUUAAAUCAUGGUUUUUUUACAUAAAGACUCAUUCUUGCUGGUAUAAUCUUAAUAUUUACAACCAGAUGAAGGUUUCAUUUUUGGUCCUCUUCUAGAUCGAAAAAUUGCCCAUUGUGAAUGGAUUAAUGGAAUUAAUUUAAACAUUGUAUAUAUACAGCCUCAUGCUACAUAAUUAAACACUAAUCCUUAUUUCAUGAUGAAAAACCUUUGGACUAUAUUGUAUUUUAAAUAGAAAACUAUCUUUAGAUAGAUUUUUUCCCCUCAAAAAGCAUUUUAGUAAAAAAAAUCUGAUUUAAAUUUUUAAAAAUCCUAUUUUUUAAAAAAAUCAUUGAUUUUUAUCCACCCUGGGGAGGAGGAGCCUGUGAGAACAGAAGCACCAUGGUGCUUCUGUUCCCCAUGGGAGUGGGGAUUCCAUAUGCAGAUAGAGAGGAAGAGCCUGUGGCACCAUGGUGAUUGGGCAGUGGGGAUUCCAUAUGCAGAUAGGGAGAAGGAGCCUGUGAUGGUUAAGGACAGUUGGAAUGCAAUUGUUACUGGUCAGAAUAUGUUCUUGAUUGUAGAGGAUGGACAGAUAGAUAGAUAGAUAGUGGACAGGGGUCUGUGAAGAGAGGGGUCGUGAGGGAGGAAAGAGCCCCUUCAGGAGAAGGAGCUGCCAUUGUGUGAAUUCAAUGAGGAAACAAGAUGAACAAGAUCUGUUAACUCAGGAAGGGAGGGAGGGAGAGAGAAAUAAAGAAAGAAGGGAGGGCAAGAAAGACAGAGGAGAAGAGCAAGUGGAUGAGAGAGAAAGAGAGAAAAAGAAGGGAGGGGAAGAGAGAAAGAAGGAAGGAUGAGGGGCAGGCCCGAGCCUGUCAGCGGCCUGAGGAGAACAAGCCGCCAUGGCUGUGCCGAUUGGCAGCAAGGAAGGGCCCAGUCAACCCACUGCUGCUGUUUGUGACUACCAAGGCCAUUGGCAGAAGGAGGCAGGCGGGCAAGGGACAGGUCCGGGCCUGACAGCAGCCUGAGGGGAAUGAGCGGCCAUGAUGAGGAACGGCUUGGUCAACCGCUGCUGCUGCUCUUGUGGGGAGGAACGGGGCUCAGGUGAGGGUGGGGAGGUCUCUGGGAAUAGGGGGCUGCAGCUUGGCCAAUAGGUGCCAGCAACGCUGCAGCCGUGACCAAGAGGAGGUGAGGGGGAUGGAAGCAAUCAAAUGGAGGAGAGACUAAGAGGGGUGAGGGGGAUGGAAACAAUUGGAUGGAGGAGGAGCGGGACUGUGGCUCAGGUGAAGGUGGAGAGAUCUCUGAGGUGAGGGGGACUGUGGCAGGGGGUGAGAGGAGCAAUCAAGUACUAGCACGCAGAUGCUCUGCGCGGGUUAAGCUAGUUAAUUUUCAUUCUCACAGAAGCCAUAUCUGCUGUAAUGAGCAUGCAUUUGCUGUAUGCACUUGCUGUUCACCUUGUCAGGAGAACAGGAUGAAGAUGAAAUUGUUUCACCACACAAAAAUAUGCAUAGAUUGAAUAUGUACAAAUUGAAAUAAAAUUGUUGAAUUCCUUGA